UGAAUACGAGACGCUAAGGCGUCGAAGUAGUGUAUGUCAUACUUCCAAGAAAAGCUUGCACUGUCAUAGAUAAAAAACGCCUGUACCAUAACCGACACAGGUGGGUAGGUAGAGUAUACUAAGGGGCGCGAGAUAACUCUCUCUAAGGAACUCGGCAAAAUAACUCCGUACUUCGGGAGAAGGAGUGCCUUAUUCGUAAGGUUGCAAUAACAAGAUCCAAGCAACUGUUUAUCAAAAACACAGGUCUCCGCUAAGUCGUAAGACGAUGUAUGGGGGCUGACGCCUGCCCAGUGCCAGAAGGUUAAAGAAGUUGGUUAGCAAUUGCGAAGCUGAUAACUGAAGCCCUGGUGAACGGCGGCCGUAACGAUAACGGUCCUAAGGUAGCGAAAUUCCUUGUCGGGUAAGUUCCGACCCGCACGAAAGGCGUAAUGAUUUGGAUACUGUCUCGGAGAGGGGCUCGGUGAAAUAGACUUGUCUGUGAAGAUGCGGACUACCUGCACCAGGACAGAAAGACCCUAUGAAGCUUUACUGUAACUUGAAAUUGAAAUUGGACUUUAUUCGCGCAGUAUAGGUGGGAGGCGUUGAUUAUAAUCUUGUGGGAUUAUUGGAGCCAUCAGUGAGAUACCACUCUUGUAAUGUUAGAUUUCUAACUUUGAAUCAUUAUCUGGUCAAAGAACAGUUUCAGGCGGGCAGUUUGACUGGGGCGGUCGCCUCCUAAACGGUAACGGAGGCGUACAAAGGUUUCCUCUGAACGGUUAGAAAUCGUAUCUAGAGUGUAAAGGCAUAAGGAAGCUUGACUGUGAGACCUACAAGUCGAGCAGGGACGAAAGUCGGUCUUAGUGAUCUGACGGUACUGAGUGGAAGGGCCGUCACUCAACGGAUAAAAGUUACUCUAGGAUAACAGGCUGAUCUCCCCCAAGAGUUCACAUCGACGGGGAGGUUUGGCACCUCGAUGUCGGCUCAUCGCAUCCUGGGGCGGUAGUACGUCCCAAGGGUUGGGCUGUUCGCCCAUGAAAGCGGUACGCGAGCUGGGUUCAGAACGUCGUGAGACAGUUCGGUCCAUAUCCGGUGUAGGCGUUAGAAUAUUGAGAGGAGCCUUCUUUAGUACGAGAGGACCGAGAAGGACAUACCUCUGGUGUACCAGUUAUCGUGCCAACGGUAAACGCUGGGUAGCUAUGUAUGGAGUGGAUAACCGCUGAAAGCAUCUAAGUGGGAAGCCCACCUC
rnacentral:rRNA from 1 species